AUACGUAGGUGGCAAGCGUUGUCCGGAUUUAUUGGGCGUAAAGCGAGCGCAGGCGGUUUCUUAAGUCUGAUGUGAAAGCCCCCGGCUCAACCGGGGAGGGUCAUUGGAAACUGGGAGACUUGAGUGCAGAAGAGGAGAGUGGAAUUCCAUGUGUAGCGGUGAAAUGCGUAGAUAUAUGGAGGAACACCAGUGGCGAAGGCGACUCUCUGGUCUGUAACUGACGCUGAGGCUCGAAAGCGUGGGGAGCAAACAGGAUUAGAUACCCUGGUAGUCCACGCCGUAAACGAUGAGUGCUAAGUGUUGGAGGGUUUCCGCCCUUCAGUGCUGCAGCUAACGCAUUAAGCCCUCCGCCUGGGGAGUACGACCGCAAGGUUGAAACUCAAAGGAAUUGACGGGG
rnacentral:rRNA from 1 species